rnacentral:rRNA from 1 species
GACGAACGCUGGCGGCGUGCUUAACACAUGCAAGUCGAACGGGUCUGCCCUGUUUUUUGCGGGGUGGGUCAGUGGCGAACGGGUGAGUAACACGAGAGUAACCUGCCCCUCACUUCUGGAUAACCGCUUGAAAGGGGGGCUAAUACGGGGUGUUCUGGCUGUGCCGCAUGGUGUGGCUGGGAAAGAUUCACUUUUGUGGUGUUUUGGUGGGGGAUGGGCUCGCGGCCUAUCAGCUUGUUGGUGGGGUGAUGGCCUGCCAAGGCUUUGACGGGUAGCCGGCCUGAGAGGGUGGGCGGUCACACUGGGACUGAGAUACGGCCCAGACUCCUGCGGGAGGCAGCAGUGGGGGGUAUUGCACAAUGGGCGGAAGCCUGAUGCAGCGACGUCGCGUGAGGGAUGGAGGCCUUCGGGUUGUGAACCUCUUUCGCCGGUGAAGAAGGUCCUGCUCUUUGGGGUGGGGUUGACGGUAGCCGGGUUAUGAAGCGCCGGCUAACUACGUG